rnacentral:lncRNA from 1 species
CACAUGCACAAAUUCAAACAGUUCAGACCCAAAAAGAAGUUCAGCGUGGAUCUGACGUGUCUUUGCGAUGUGAUGUCCGUCUUCUGUCUAAAUCCUCCACAUUGAACUGGGAGAAAGAUGGAGAACACACACCCAACAGCACUCUGAUGUACAACAACUCUGCCUACAUCAUCUUACACACCGUUGAUGAACGCAAUAAAGGGAAUUAUUACUGUAGAUUGAUGGAAGAUGGAAGCGUACAAACUGUUAGGAUUCACACACUUAAUGUUACUUCAAGUUAGUACUUUUACGUUAUUAUGUUAUUCUUACAUUUACAUUACAUUUACAUUUAAUCAUUUAGCAGACGACUCUGCCUACAUCAUCUUACACACCGCUGAUGAACGCAAUAAAGGGAAUUAUUACUGUAGAUUGAUGGAAGAUGGAAGCGUACAAACUGUUAGGAUUCACACACUUAAUGUUACUUCAAAUUUAUAUGGAAGUCAAACCAUUUACAGACAAAGCCCCUUUCACAUCUCACCUGUGAACUUCAAUUAUAGUGGGACAUACAGGUGUAUUACUGAAAACACAAUCUACACAACCACAAUACCAUGCACCAUUAGAGUGGAGCCCCCUGAUGGUGUGUUGAGGAGUCAGUCAGUGGUUCUUACCUGUGAGGUAUCUGAAGUAACUGAUUCAGUGACGCUGGUCUGGUUUAGGAUGGAGGGGAACAGAGGAGUGCUGGUCAAACAGCAAAUUAUGACUGAGAAAAACAACAUGUUACGUCUCACAGUGAAUCUAGCCAGCUAUGAAACAGACCCGCUGCACUGGCAGUGUGCAGUUUUUACUGAGAAUACACUCUGAGGUGAGUGCAGUACAGUUCAAAACAGUGUAUAUGCAUAUAAUGUAUAUAUUUUACAAUAAAGUAAUGAUGUUAAUUUAUUGUGCUACCAAUUGGAAUUGUCACUUUCCCCCAAAAUAGUUUAUUUUUUGCUAUUAAUUUAUCUUGUCUUUCAGACACCAGUUACAUCAGACAGUAUGACCUACGCAACCAUUGUUUUCAACAAAUCCAGGUUUCAGACUUAAAAUAUAACUCCAGUCUAUAAUGAGAACCUGAGGGAGACACAAUUUCAUAUAAUGUUUUAUUUUUUAGAUAUGAACCUCAAACCAAUAUCUCACAGAGAAAGUAUAAACAUUUUCUUUAUUAAACAGCAGAUGGCGCUGUCUGGUUACAUUAGCUAUAAUCUGAGAAUGCAUUAAGAGGUUCUCAGACCUAACUGCCUUCAUUAAACCACCACCACAUAUAUUAAUCCUACUGACUGAAACUGGAUAACUGCAUCCUGUUAUUAAUGUUGUGUUAAUCCCAUUUGUAAAAGCAUCAACUAAGCAUCCAAAUAUUAUUAUGAUUUUGCAUUUGUUAUAUUAUAGUUGCCUUCAUAUAUGUGCAUGCAUGCUAGUGAAAUGGCCAUUUGAUGGCACUGUUUGAAAACGUUCUUGAAUAAUAAUAAUAAUAAUAAUAAAGUGUAAGUACUAAAUAGGAUAAUGCAGUUACAUCCUCUUCUCUCUCACUCUCUCUGUCUGUCACUUUCAUCCUCCUGGAAUCCACCCAGAACAUGCUGCUUCAUUGUACUUCAAUCUAAAACACAAAAGUGUGGAAAAAAGUAGUUUGAAUAGGAUGUCUUCAUGGACAAGGGAUAAUGCUCCUCGCAAACUCAAGGUUGCUCUGCUUUGUAUAAAUGUGUGUCUUUAUUUAAACAUGGUGGGGGGAUUUUAAAACGCUUGACAAGGUCUGCUAAGUAGAACCACUGAGUGAUGAAGAAUUCAAAUGCACAUAAAUGAUGUUCUACGAGGAGGGGAAAGGCAGAUGUUGACAGAAUGGGCUGCAUAUAAGGAAAAAAAACCAAGGUUAAUGCAUUUUGAAUCACAUCUUUGUCUCUGAAAUGUAGGCUUCAGAUAAUCCCAUUUUAUUAAGGUCCUGACCACAUCAUGCAGUAAAGACUUAUUACGAGGAGCACCAUGAGUUUGGUCAAGAUGGGUAGAAUCUUAUCCAAAGUCUUACUUUCAACCACUGACAAUCACAGCACUUUUCUAGUUAAGCAAAGCUUUUCUGCACAGCUUAAUCUCCUUGACUUUGAAUUAAUAUGUUCAGUUUCCUAAAAUCGCU